rnacentral:rRNA from 1 species
UAGGGAAUCUUCUGCAAUGGACGAAAGUCUGACCGAGCAACGCCGCGUGAGUGAAGAAGGUUUUCGGAUCGUAAAACUCUGUUGUUUGAGAAGAACAAGGACGUUAGUAACUGAACGUCCCCUGACGGUAUCUAACCAGAAAGCCACGGCUAACUACGUGCCAGCAGCCGCGGUAAUACGUAGGUGGCAAGCGUUGUCCGGAUUUAUUGGGCGUAAAGCGAGCGCAGGCGGUUUCUUAAGUCUGAAGUGAAAGCCCCCGGCUCAACCGGGGAGGGUCAUUAGAAACUGGGAGACUUGAGUGCAGAAGAGGAGAGUGGAAUUCCAUGUGGAGCGGUGAAAUGCGUAGAUAUAUGGAGGAACACCAGUGGCGAAGGCGGCUCUCUGGUCUGUAACUGACGCUGAGGCUCGAAAGCGUGGGGAGCAAACAGG